rnacentral:miRNA from 1 species
CGCUAUCAGAUGUGCUCUUA